rnacentral:tRNA from 1 species
GGGUAGCUCAGUGGUAGAGCAUCUGUUUAGUACACAUAAGGUCCUGGGUUCAGUCCACAGCACCA